rfam:Geobacter sulfurreducens PCA, complete genome.
GGGCGCUUAGCUCAGCGGGAGAGCACUGCCUUCACACGGCAGGGGUCACUGGUUCAAUCCCAGUAGCGCCCA